rnacentral:rRNA from 1 species
CCUACGGGUGGCAGCAGUGGGGAAUAUUGGGCAAUGGGCGCAAGCCUGAUCCAGCAACGCCGCGUGAAGGAAGAAGGCUUUCGGGUUGUAAACUUCUUUUCGCAGGGACGAAGGAAGUGACGGUACCUGAGGAAUAAGCCACGGCUAACUACGUGCCAGCAGCCGCGGUAAUACGUAGGUGGCAAGCGUUAUCCGGAUUUACUGGGUGUAAAGGGCGUGUAGGCGGUACUGCAAGUCAGAUGUGAAAACCACGGGCUCAACCUGUGGACUGCAUUUGAAACUGUAGAUCUUGAGUGCUGGAGAGGGAGGCGGAAUUCCUAGUGUAGCGGUGAAAUGCGUAGAGAUUAGGAGGAACACCAGUGGCGAAGGCGGUCUGCUGGACAGCAACUGACGCUGAGGCGCGAAAGCGUGGGGAGCAAACAGGAUUAGAUACCCCUGUAGUC